rnacentral:SRP_RNA from 1 species
UGCCGGUCCCUUCGCGACGAUAAACUGUGAACUUGGUCAGGCCCGGAAGGGAGCAGCCACAGCGGUGGAUUCGGGUGCCGAGGUGUGGCUGGCAUGG